GAUGAACGCUGGCGGCGUGCCUAAUACAUGCAAGUCGAGCGAACGGACGAGAAGCUUGCUUCUCUGAUGUUAGCGGCGGACGGGUGAGUAACACGUGGAUAACCUACCUAUAAGACUGGGAUAACUUCGGGAAACCGGAGCUAAUACCGGAUAAUAUUUUGAACCGCAUGGUUCAAAAGUGAAAGACGGUCUUGCUGUCACUUAUAGAUGGAUCCGCGCUGCAUUAGCUAGUUGGUAAGGUAACGGCUUACCAAGGCAACGAUGCAUAGCCGACCUGAGAGGGUGAUCGGCCACACGGGAACUGAGAGACGGUCCAGACUCCUAGGGGAGGCAGAAGUAGGGAAUCUUCCGCAAUGGGCGAAAGCCGGACGGAGCAACGCCGCGUGAGUGAUGAAGGUCUUCGGAUCGUAAAACUCUGUUAUUAGGGAAGAACAUAUGUGGAAGUAACUGUGCACAUCUUGACGGUACCUAAUCAGAAAGCCACGGCUAACUACGUG
rnacentral:rRNA from 1 species